rnacentral:tRNA from 1 species
UGCACAAGUUUUAAUGGUAGAACGUUGGUCUCCAAAACCAAAAGUAAGGGUUCAAUUCCCUUUUUUCCUG